CGGCUUCGCCAGUCUCCCGGGAAAUCCAGCGGCUUAACCGUUGGGCGCCCGUGGGAUACUGCGUUGCUUGGGACCGGGAGAGGUAGGAGGUACUCGAGGGGUAGGGGUGAAAUCCUGUAAUCCUUCGGGGACCACCGGUGGCGAAGGCGUCCUACCAGAACGGGUCCGACGGUGAGGGACGAAAGCUAGGGGCACGAACCGGAUUAGAUACCCGGGUAGUCCUAGCCGUAAACGAUGCCCGCUAGGUGUCACGUCGGUCGUGAAUCGCCGAGGUGCCGUAGGGAAGCCGCGAAGCGGGCCACUUGGGAAGUACGGCCGCAAGGCUGAAACUUAAAGGAAUUGGCGGGGGAGCACCACUAACGGGUGGAGCCUGCGGUUUUAAUUGGAUUCUACGCCGGGAAGCUUACCGAGAUCGACAGUUGGAUGAAGGCUAUUGCUGAAGACCUUGCCAGACUAGCUGACAGGAGGUGCUUGGCCGUCGUCAGUUCGUACCGUAGAGGCGUUCGGGUUGAGUCACGCACCAUGCGAGUCUCUGUCCCACCUGCUGCUCCCUGUUCCGUGUGGAUGGCGAGUAUCUGUGGAGUACGGCUGGCGCCAACCCUGACGACGCAAUUG
rnacentral:rRNA from 1 species